rnacentral:lncRNA from 1 species
CUCAUUCUGUCUUGCCGCCACAAUGUAAGAAUUGUCUCUCACCCUCUGCCAUGUAAGAAUUCUCUUUCACCCUCUGCCGUGAUCGUGAGACCUUCCCCAGCCAUGUGAAACUUUUUCAGCUUUCCUCCACUGUUUUGGGAAACGUCACCUUCUUAUCUUGGAAGAGUAAUCUCAAAAUUGAAGCAUCUUAGAUCCAACAAGAAUUAAAAGGAUGGGAAGUCCUUGCAGCCAUCCAAUAGAGUCAGAAGACUUUGGAUUUUGGAGUCUGUGAGAUAUACAGGCAUCAAGAGGACAGUUUCUGCCUGCUCCUUGCUUAUAUUCUUUCAGAGAAGCUACACAAACCAGCAACAAUUUGAAUAAAAAUCAAUCAGGGACAUUUUACAAGCAUGUAUGGGUCCCUUUGAGAACACAAAAGAGGGACAACUCCUUUGGUAUUCUGGAAUACAAGACCCACAGUUUAGGUUGUAUGGCUGGUCAUGAGAAACUGGAAACAAAGCAUCUAUGCUCCUCUUUAGAAGAAAACAUAAGAUCAGAAAUAUGGCUUUGCACUUUAAAAAUGGAAAUUAGCUUUGAAUCAGUAAAGUGUGUGCCAACUAGAUUGAGAACUUCUGUCAAGCUUUUGACAUGCAGGGGGAAAAGAUAAGAAUCGUCUUUGUGUAUAAACUUUUUAGUUUACAUUGUUGUUACACAUAUUAGUAUGAUUUACAAGAUUCCCUAGUUCCAAAUGCUUGUGAAACAUCGUUUGAAUAAAUAACAUAAGUCAUAAAACAAUGGUUACUGUGAAAAUUAAUGAUUCAAAAAUUGCAUCAGUUGAUGUAAACAGUAAUUUUACUGUUUCUUAAAGAAGCAUUGUAUUCCAACAUUACAAAAACUUCAAUUUGUGAUUUUCUUAUGACAAGAGCCAUUCUAUUUCCCCACUGCAGAAUAUAUUUGAAAAUAAAAUGAUUCUUGACUCUGCUGUUUUUUUCUUUUUCUGGAACUCAAACAUAACUGAAUGCUUUUGGUUAUGCUUACUUCUCUUCCAUAGGAAGUAGUGAGACCAUAAAAGCUUUGUAUGUCAUGCUACAGAGUUUAAAACUCAUGCUGUUGCUGGAAGCCUAUGGAAGAGAACUUUCUUUAAAUUUUAUUUUCAAAUGUGGUAAAAUACACAUAACAUAAAAUUUACCAUCUUAACCAUUUUUUGGGUGUAUAAUUCAGUAGUAUGAGGUAAAUUUACAUUGCUGUGUAGCCAGUCUUUCUUUUUAAAAUGUAUUUUUAAUUUUUGUUUUACUUUAAGUUCUGGAAUACAUGUGCAGAACGUGCAGGUUUGUUACAUAGGUAUACGUGUGCCUUGGUGGUUUGCUACACCUAUUGACCCGUCAUCUAGGUUCCCUCCCCUUGCCCCCAACCCCCAACAGGUGUUGUUCCCCUCCCUGUGUCCAUGUGUUAUCAUUGUUCAACUCCCACUUAUGAGUGAGACAUACGCUGUUUGCUUUUCUGUUCCUGUGUUAGUUUGCUGAGGACGAUGGCUUCCAGCUUCAUCCAUAUGCCUGCAAAGAACAUGAUCUCAUUCCUUUUUAUGGCUGCUAGUAUUCCAUGGUGUAUAUGUACCACAUUUUCUUUAUCCUGUCUAUCAUUGAUGGGCAUUUGGGUUGAUUCCAUGUCUUUGCUAUUAUAAAUAGUGCAGCCAAUCUCUUAAACUCUUUUCAUCUUGCAAAAUGGAAACUCUACCCAUAAAACAACUUAUCUUUCCCCUCUUCCCUCAGCAUCUGGCAAUCACUAUUCUACUUUCUGUCUCUAUGAUUUUGACUAUUCUAGGUAUGUCACAUGAGUGGAAUCAGUAUUUUUUUUUGUGACUGAGUUAUUUCACUUAGUGUAAUGUCAUCAAGGUUCAUUCACGUGGUAACAUUUGUCAGAAUUUCCUUCCUUUUUAAGGCUGAAUAAUAUGCCAUUGCAAGUAUAUAUAUUUUGUUUAUCUGUUUGUCUAUGGAUGGGUACUUGGGUUGCUUCCACAUUUUGUUACGGUGAAUGUGCUACUAUGAACAUGGGUUUGCAAAUAUCUCUUCCAGACCCUGCUUUCAGUUCUUUUGGUUACAGAGAUAGCUUCUCGCCUUACGAUGAGGCUGUGUGCAGAUAAACCCAUUGUAAAUGGAAAGUGUGUUUUGAUAUUUUCAAUUUAAGAUGAGUGUAUUGGGAUAUAACCCCAUCGUAAGUCAAGGAACAUACUAAAUGUAUAUCACUUUCACACUGUUGUAAAAUCAAAAAAUCAUUAAAUUGAACCAUCUGAAGUCUGAGACCAUCUGUGUUCCCAGAAGUGGAAUUGCUAGAUCGCAUGGUAGUUCUAUUUUUAAUUUUUUGAGAAAAUGCCAUAAUGUUUUUCAUACUGGCCACACCAUUCUAAAUAUCCUCCAACAUUGCACGAGGAUUCCAUUUUUCUACGUCCUCCUCAACACUUUUUUUGUUUGUUUUUGUUUUUUGAUAGUAGCUGUCCUAAUGGUUGUGAGGUGGAAUCUCACUGUGGUUUGAAUUUGUAUUUCCCUAAUGAUUAGUGAUGUUGAACAUCUUUUCAUUUGCUUAUUGGCCAUUUGUGUAUCUUCUUUGGAGACCCAUAAAAAAGAAUUAAAACAAGGACAUGCCAUAGUCAAAUUUAGGUUUUGGAAAGGUCACAAUGACAUCAAGUUGAAGGUGAAUUAUAGUGGGAGUGACCAACUGUAGCGCAACCAGUUAGGAGGCGAUUGUAGUUUCCGUGUUGAUGCUUUGUUACUUUCAAAGAAAAGCCCUCAUGCUGGCAUUUAAUUCUGUCCACAUACUGGCCUCGUUGUUCUUUCCAAAUUCCCCUCUGUUAUGUCUUUUCAUGAAUUCUAUGUCCUUUUCAAGCUGGGUCAUAUGUCUUAUUAGCAUUCUUAUCUCAAAACUUUGAGGCUUUUUUUUUUUUUUUGGUUACAGAAAAUGUACUUAUGUCUGGUUUUCUUACCUGGGUAUAACUGCAUAGUUUUCCUUUAGGACGCAUCUUUGUUUCUCUCCUCCAUAAAUACUCUGAUGUCCCCAGUUUGGUGGAUUAUUUCUCUCUCUCUCCAUCUCUCUCUGUCUCUGUCUCUUUCACGGAUGGCUGUGGUAUUCAUGAACACUUACGCAUCACUGAUAAGUUAUAUGUGUGGAUGGAAUUAUAAAGUCCUUGAGAGCAUAAAUGUUUUCUUGUAUCUCUAUAUAUCUAUGUCAUUAUAUCCAGAACUUAUUUGUGUGUGUAUAUGUGUGUGUGCAGGGUAAUGAUUAGUAAAUGUUUGUUACUGAUAAUAAAAAUGAGUUUGGGAAUAGUUUGAAUUAUGUUGCAUUUAUACAACUGAAAUUACCAGCAUAAUUUGCCUCUUUAUGCACAUAAAAUUAUGGUUCAUUAACUUAGUCUCAAAAUACAAUUACUUUCUCUCAAAAUAUUCAGAUUUUGUAAGCAGUAGAAUGCCAAACAAUGUUUUAGGAAGGAAAACUAACAUUUUUUAACAUCUUCUAUGGGCCAAACACUAUACCAGGCCCUUUACACGUGCUACUUAAACCUCACAGUAAUCCUUUGCAGUAGAGAUUCAUUUUUUUAAAGUGGUUUAGAGAAGUUUGGGGAGAUUACAGUAAGAAAUGAAAAGUCAGAGAAACUGAGUAGGUAGCUGUUGUACUGGUCCUGGACAGAAUGUUCAAGUGCUGAAUUAGUCCAGGUUGGUAAGAAUGGGGAAGUAGAGAAUGGAUUCUAGUAAUGUUUAGAAGGUAAAAUAAACAUUUUUGUGUCUAGUUGGAGGAACGAGGAGACAGGAAUCUCAAAUUUUUGGCUUGAGGCACUCAGUAUAAUCUGGCACCAUUCACCAAUGUAAGAAAGAAAAAAAGCAGAACCACAGAGGAACAGAGGAGUGAAAAUGUACAAAGAAAAGCAAGUCAAAAAUUUAGGAGAGAAGUCUGCUUGAAAAGACAGUCUUAGAGCCAUUCAACACAUACGUAUUGUCAACACCAUCCCAAUAGUGGGGUUCAGGAACAGCUAGCAAUAAGACAGUGCAUUAUCUGUAUAGACUAAAAUGAAAUAAGAGGUGCUGUUUUUAUUAUCAAGUGUCACAAUGCUUGUGAUAAAAUGUUCCUCCCUGAAAAAAAAUCUGUUAUUCUAAAUUCUAAACAAUUGCUGCAGUUGUUACUGAGUUUUAACAAUACAUUUGCAAGCUUCAGAUUAGCACAUUUUUAUUCUUUGUUUCUUCACAAACAUUAUCUUCUUUAUUAAUUUGGAGAACUCCUGUUAUAUAUUCAGCCCCUGACAUGUGUGAAGUCAACUGCAUGAUUAGUUUCAAGAGUAAGUUUAUAAUAGUUUGAACUCGCUUUGAGAGCAACUCCUAUUUCCAUCCCCUGUGAUACUACAUGUUUCUGCAUUUAAACAGUAGAUUAGGAAGAAAUAAUGUUAGCACAGCAAAUGGUGAAUAAGAAGAAACAGAACUUGGGUUACACCAAUUCUGUCAUACCAUUUGACAACCUGGAAUUUUUAAUUUGUGUUUGAAUUUAAAACAGUAAAACAGAGCAUGAAACUGGUAAGUCCUAAUUUUAGUUCAUAUAUGAAAUAUUUUACUGAACAUGAAUCAUAUUUUAAAAUUUAAAUGUAUUCUUUAUUGUGCAUUGCAUAAACAUUAAAAAGCAAAUCAAGAAAAUAAUGAUGACUACUGAUGAUUUCAUGAUGAUUACUAGAAACAAUUUUGUUGUGUAGAGGGAGGGAGUGGUAAAUAAUGAUCUGCACUGAAUGUCAAAUAUGCCAGGUGAGCCGCUGCAUAUUACACACCUCUAGUGUCUGAAGAGCUGUUCCAGGCCCUGCAGACUUAGCAGCAAAUAAAGGCACGAGGGUUUAAAGAUUGGCAUGGAGAAGAUGGCCUAGAGAAAGAAUGUAGAAAGGAAGCGAAGAUGACCCACUCCAGAGCUGUUAGAAACACAAACUUCCAAGAGGUAGACUGUAGAAGAAGAGGACCCCCCAAAACAAGCAAGAAGCAGAUAGAGUGGUGGGAGGAGAGGUAGGAGAGAGUAGAGUCAGGGACAUUAGGGGAGAAGUUAUGGGAAAGAUGGCUGGUCAACAGCAUUCAAGUGACUAAGAAGACAAAAAAGAAAAUGGCUGGAAAGAACCCUUUCGGUUGACCAUUAGGAAGUGGGGGUGAGUUUCUUUAAAAAGUCUUUGCUCUGAAUGGGAGAAGUAAGGGCAGUUCAAGGCAGGAGAGCACUAUCGAAUAGAAGGGGUGUUAAAUUAUCUUUUCUGAUUCUACAGUACAUGCAGGUUCAUUGUUGAAAAUGUGGCCAAAGUUGGAAAUUGAAGGAGCUAUGAACUCAUGUCCCUUGCCUUAAUUAGCCUUUGACUAUGAAAUAGUUAUGUCUUCAUCAUAAAUCCUUAAGCCUCUCCUGUGUGCUAACAAAGCCUCAGGCCCACUUCAGAGUGCCCUUAUCUUUAUUUUGGUCCAGACUAUGCGUUUUACUUCUCUCUUACUUCUCCUGCUUCAAUUGCCCAUGCCUAUUGGCCGCAGGCUACCUGGAAAGCCAUCACUGCCCGUACUUAUGAGAACAUUGGUAUCUGUGCUGUGCAUACCGUCCAGAAACGUCAGGGCUCCAUCCAGAGGCAGGCCCUGCUCCAACACUCAGCCAGGUAUAUGUGGCCAGCUGGGCCUCCAGGGAGCUCAGCCUAGCCCAGAAUUGCAUUCAGUCUUGGUGAAAACCUCUGUUACCCUUUGGCCACCCCCUCUUCUUCUAAAGGGUGCAACAGAACCUGAGGAACUAAUAAAUAUCCCUUUUGUUUUUCUCCUUUCCCCCAAGUUUCAACCCUUUUCUCUCAAAAGCAAUAUCCUCUCCCCAAAAUGCUACCCUCUCCUCUCUUUUCCAUUUAGCCUUUUUCAGAUUUUCAAUCUCGGAUUUUUCCAAACUUUGCCACUUGAGCACAGUUUUCUCUUUACCCAUGCAUAAUUUAGAAGAUUUGCUACAGCUUUUCUUCUUCUUCUUUUUUUUUUUUUCCCAAAUAAAGUGCCUGCCCUUAAAGGUGAAUUCAAAUGUGAAUUCAAAUUCAAAUUUCCAUCCCUUGUUAAACAGAAAGUACUUGAAACUGAAAUUACAUUUUUUUUUCUGACUUCUAUUCUUCCAUUUCAUCUUAGGAUACAUUUUUAUUCAUGGCUAAAACACCAAGUACUCUACCAUGUGUAGAAGCUGUUCUCCAGCAAUUUCUGUAAAAUGGAGAAAAAAAUAAUAGAAGAAAAUAUAAGUUGGCCUUUAAUCUUACCAACAUAUCAUGUAGAUUCCCUCUUUGUAAGUCCUAGCGCAUAUUUGAUGCUAAAUAAAUAUGUUGGCUAAACAUAAAAAUAUAUACAGAAAUUGGGAUCAUACUGUGAAUGUAUAUUUUAUCCCAUUUUCCAUAAAAUUAGUAAAAUUUUUCUUGACUUUAACUACUCUUUAAUUUUACUUUCAUCAUUCUAUUGUAUGAUUUUGAUUAUGUAGCAUAAAUUAUUUAAUCACUUUCCUAUUGCUUACCAUUUAGGCAUUUUUGUACUGUAAUAGAUUCCCUAAUAUAAAUAUUUGCACGUCUACUAAUUUUCUUUGGAUUCUGUGUUAGUCAGGGUUCUCUAAAGGGACAGAACUAAUAAGAUAUAUGUAUAUAGGAAGGGGAGUUUAUUAGGAGAAUUGACUCACAGGGUCGCAAGGUGAAGUUCCACAAUAGGUCAUCUGCAAGCUGAGGAGCCAGGAAGUCAGUCCGAGUCCCAAAACCUCAAAAGUAGGGAAGCCGACAGUGCAGCCUUCAGUCUGUGGCCGAAGGCCUGAGAGCCCCUGGCAAACAACUGGUGUAAGUCCAAGAGUCCAAAACUGAAGAAUUUGAAGUUUGAUGUUCAAGGGCAGGAAGCAUCCAGCGUGGCAGAAAGAUGAAGGCCAGAAGACACAGCAAGUCAAGUCCUUCCACAUUCUUCUGCCUGCUUUAUUCUAGCCAUGCUGGCAGCUGAUUAGAUGGUGCCCACCCAGACUGAGGUUGGGUCUGCCCCUACCAGACCACUGACUCAAAUGUUAAUCUCCUUUGGCAACAUCCUCACAGACACACCCAGGAAUAAUACUUCGCAUCUGAUCCAGCGCGGUGGCUCACACCUGUAAUCCCAGCACUUUAGGAGGCCAAGGCAGGCAGAUCACCUGAGGUCAGGAGUUGGAGACCAGCCUUACCAACAUGGAGAAACCCAGGUCUCUACUAAAAAUACAAAAUUAGCCAGGCGUGAUGGCGUACGCCUGUAAUCCCAGCUACUCGGAAGGCUGAAGCAGGAGAAUCGCUUGAACCCGGGAGGCAGAGGUUGUGGUGAGCUGUGAUCAUGCCAUUGCACUCCAGCCUGAGCCUGGGCAACAACAGUGAAACUCUGUCUCAAAAAAAAAAAACAACAAAACUUUGCAUCCUUCAAUCCAAUCAAGUUGACACUCAAUAUUAACUAUCACAGAUACAUUUCCAAAAGUGGAAUUACUGGAUUAGAAGCCUUAGGACAGUGCUUGGUGCAAAGUAAGUAUUCAACAAAUAUUUGAAUAUUUGAAUGCAUAUUUGAAUAUGCAAUAAAUAUUGCAAUGAUUUGAAUGGAGGUUUUUUGAUAGUUAUUUCUGAAUUGUCCUUCAGGAUCAUUAUACAUCUGAACAUGUCCCUUCAACACUGCCACUGCCUCCCUCUGGACUGAAUUUCUCUGUAUCAUCUCUUGUGUUAUCUUUUAGUCUUUGUUAAUUUUAUAGUAAAAAUUGUGUCCUUUUUUUUGUUUCUCUUUUGAGACAGAGUCUGACACUACUAUCACCUAGGCUGGAGUGCAGCGGUGUGAUCUUGACUCACUGCAACCUCUAUCCACCUCCUGGGCUCAAGUGGUCCUCCUGCCUCAGCCUCUUGAGUAGCUAGAACUAUAGGCUUGCCACCAUGCCCAGCUAAUUUUUUUUUUUUUUUUUUGAGACAGGGUCUCAUUCUGUUGCCCAGGCUGGAGUGCAGUGACAUGAUCUCGGCUCACUGCAGCCUCCACCUUCCUGGGUUCAAGUGAUUCUCCUGCCUCAGCCUCCCAAGUAGCUGAUAUUAUAGGUGUGUGCCCCCACGCCCGACUAAGUUUCAUGUUUUUAGUAGUGGCAGGGUUUCGUCAUAUUGGCCAGGCUGGUCUCGAACUGCUGGCCUCAAGUGAUCUGCCACCUCUUUUAGUCUUUGAUAAUUUUAUAGUAAAAAUGGUGUCUUUUUUUUUUUCUUUUUUGAGACAAGGUCUGGCUCUGUCACCUAGGCUGGAGUGCAGUGGUGUGAUCUCGACUCACUGCAACCUCUGUUCACCUCCUGGGCUCAAGUGGUCUUCCUCCUCCUGCCUCAGCCUCCCAAGUAGCUAAAACUACAGUCAUGCCACCAUGCCCAGCUAAUUUUUUUUUUUUGGAAACAGGGUCUCAUUCUGUUGCCCAGGAUGGAGUGCAGUGGUGCAAUCUCAGCCCACUGCAGCCUCAGCCUCCUAGGUUUAAGCGAUUCUCCUGCCUCAGCCUCCGGAGUAGCUGGGAUUACAGGUGUGUGCCCCCAUGCCUGACUAAGUUUCGUGUUUUUAGUAGUGACAGGGUUUCAUCAUGUUGGCCAGGCUGGUCUCGAACUCCUGGCCUCAAGUGAUCUGCCACCUUGGCCUCCCAAAGUGCUGGGAUUACAGGCGUCAGCCACCAUGCCUAGCCUGAUUUUUGUAUGUUUUUGUAGAGAUAGGUUUUUGCCAUGUUGCCCAGGCUGGUCUCAAACUCCUGGGCUCAAGUGAUCCACUCGCCUCGGACUCCCAAAGUGCUGGGAUUACAGGCAUGAGCCACUGCGCCCAGCCAUUGUUUUUAAAGUUUGUAUAUCUUUAAAUAAUAAUGAGGCUACCUAUAUUUCUGUCUCCACAUUUGGCCCAAUCCUUUUAUGAACUGUCUAUUCCUGUGUAGAGAUUUGCCAAGUAUGUUUACAGAUUGGUGAGAAGGGAUCACAACACAUCUUUACUCCAAGUUCCUGGUCUCUUGGUGUUUGUUGUGGGUCUAAUUGUGUCCCCCUCCCUGCAAAAAGAUAUAUUCAAGUCCUAGCCCCUGGGGCCUGUAAAUAUGACCCUAUUUGGAAUAAGGCCUUUGCAGAUAUAGUCAAAUUAAGAUGAAGUCACACUGUAUGACUGAAACAUGACUGGUGUCUUUUUAAGAAGGGAGAAAUGUGGACACAGAGAUGCACAGGCACACAGAGGGGAAAAUGCCACAUGAUGAUGGAGGUAGAGAUUGGAGUGAUGCGUCUACAAGCCAAGGGACACCAAGGAUCACCAGCAAUCACCAGAAACUAGAAGAGAGACAUGGAACAGCCCCUCCCUCAGAGUCCCCAAAAGGAACCAACCCUGCCAACACUUUGACUUUUUGGGCUUUUGGCCCCCAGAACUGUGGGAUCAUACAUUUCUUUUGUUGAAGUCACCAGGCGUGUAGUGCUUGUUAAGGCAGCCCUAGGAAACUCCUUACUUGGCUAAGAAUUUAGAGCUUACCAUAGGUGGCUGCAGGGAGAGGAGGCCUAUUAAGCAUCCUUUGUCUUGUUUCUCUUGACAUUUAUUCUCUGAGGGGCAUGUUACUGUUGGUGACACUGUUGAGCACAUUGUGGCCUAAAUCCUUACCUAGGGGUGGGGUGGGAAUGCAGUCAUUGCCCAAGAGUUCCUGAGCAAUAACUCUCCCUUCACUUCCCCAAUUCUCUGGAAAACCUAUCUCUCUAUGAUGCCCUUUGCCCAUUUUUUCCAAGUAAGAUUUUUUACUGUUUCUUAUUGAUUUGUAGUAAGUCUUUAUAUAUUAAGGAAAUCAACUUUUCAUUUGAAUUCCUUGUUGUAAAUAUUUUUGUUGUUUGCUUUUUCCCUUUUCAUUUUGUUUAUUAUGUUUUAGGAAGUACACAAGCUUUUGAUAUUUGUCUGUUUAAAUCUGCAUCUAUGUAUCUACGUGCAUCUAUCGAUCGAUCUAUCAUCUAUCUAUUGAUCGAUCGAUUGAUCGAUCUACCUACCUACCUGUCUGUCUGUCUAUCUACCUACCUACCUACCUACUGCUAUCAUUUCUAGGUCUUUAAAAUUUCAAUUGUUUAUGCCAGGAAAAUCUUCAUGUGUUCAGAGAGGGAAAAUGUUCAUGUGCAUUAUCUUUAAAAAAAUUGAUACAUAAUGUUUGUACAAAUUUAUGGGGUGCCUGUGAUAGUUUGUUACAUGCAUAAGAUGUCUAAUGAUCAAGGCAGAGUAUUUAGGAUAUCCAUCACCUAAAGCAUUUAUUAUUUUUAUGUAUCGAGAACAUUUCAAGACCUCUCUUCUAGCUAUUUUGAAAUAUAUAAUACAUUGUUUUGAACUAUCAUUAACCCACUCAACUAUUGAACAUUAGACCUUAUUUCUUCUAUAUAACUCUAUGUUUAUACCCAUUAACCAAAACUCUCUUCAUUCCCCUUCUCAACCCUUCCCAGCCUCUAAUAACACUCUACUUUCAACCUCCUUGAUACUAAUUUUUAAGCUCCAACAUAUAAGUGAGAACUUACAAUAUUUGUCUUUCUGUGCCUGGUCUAUUUCACUUAACAUUAUUGACCUUCAGUUUCAUCCAUGUUGGUGCAAAUGAAAGGAAUUUUUUAUGGCUGAGUAGUAUUCCAUUGUGUAUAUAUGCUACAUUUUCUUUAUCCAUUCAUCCAUUGAUGGACUCUUGGGUUGAUUUCAUAUUUUUGCUAUUGUGAAUAGUGCUGCAAUAAAUGUGGGGAUGCAAUUAUCUUUUUGAUAUACUGAUUUUUUAAAAAUAGAUAUCCAAUAGAGGAAUUGCUAGAUUGUAUAGUACUUCUACUUUCAGUUUUUUGAUAAAUCUCCAUACUGUUUUUCAAAAUGACUGUACCAAUUUGCAUUCCCUCCAACAAUGUUCCUUUUCUCUGCAUCCUCACCAGUAUCUGCUAUUUUUUGUCUUUUUGAUAAUAGCCACGCUAACUGAGGUAAGAUGAUAUCUCAUUGUGGUUCUGAUUUGCAUUUCCCUGGUGAUUAAUGGUGUUGAACAUUUUUUACAUAGCUGUUGGCUAUUUGUAUGUCUUCUUUUGAGAAAUGUGUAUUCAGAAACUUUGCCUACUUUUUAAUGGGAUUAUUUGUUUUUUGGCUGUUACUUGAGUUCCUUGUAUAUUCUGAAUAUUAGUCCCUUAUCUGAUGAAAUGUUUGCAAAUAUUCUCUCCCAUUGAACAGGUUGUCUUUUCACUCUGUUGAUUUUUUCCUUUGCUGUGCAGAAGUAAGCUUUUUAGUUUACUAUAGUUCCAUUUGUCUAUUUAUGUUUUUGUUGCCUGUGCUUUUGCAGUCUUAGCCAUAAAAUAUUUGCUUAGGCCAAUGACCUGGAGUGUUUCUCCUGUGUUUCUUCAGGUACUUUUAUAGUUUUGGGCCUAAACUUGAAGUCUUUAAUCCAUUUGGAGUUGAUUUAUGUUUAUGGUGAGAGAUAGGGAUCUAGUUUCAUUCUUCUGCAUGUGGAUAUUCAGUUUUCCCAGCACCAUUUAUUGAAGAAGAUGACCUUUCCCCGGUGUAUGUUCCUGACUCCUUUGUUGAAAAUGAGUUGGCCAUAAUACAUGGAUUUAUUUCUGGCAUCUCGAUUCUAUUCAAUUGGGUUAUGCGUGUGUUUUUAUACCAAUACCAUGCUGUUUUUGUUACUAUAGUCUUGUAAUAUAUUUGGAAGUCAGGUAUUGUGAUGCCCCUAGCUUUAUUCUUUUUUUCUCAGGAUUGCUUUGGCUAUUCAGGCACUUUUUGGUUCCAUAAAAAUUUUAGGACUGUUUUUCUCUUUCUGUGAAGAGGAAUGCUGCAUUGAAUUUAUAAAUUUUUUUGGGAAGUAUUGCCAUUUUAACAAUAUUAAUCCUUUCAACCCACGAGCAUGAAAUCUCUUUUCAUUUUCUGAUUGUCCUCUUCAAUUUCUUUCAUCAAUGAUUUAUAAUUAUCUUUCUAUAGAACUUUCACUUCUUUUGUUACAUUGAUUCCCAGGUAUUUAAUAUUUUUCUAGCUAUUGUAAGUAGGAUUGCUUUCUUGAUUUUUUUAAAUAUUGUUUACUAUUGGUGUAUAUAAAUAGUACUAAUUUUUGUAUAUUGAUUUGUAUUGUGCAACUUUACUGAAUUUAUUUAUCAGCUCUAAGGGUUUUUUUUUGGUGGAGUCUUUCGGGUUUUUUUUAGGUAUAAGAUCAUGUUAUCUGCAACCAAGGCUAAUUUGAUAUCUUCCUUUCCAUUUUGGGUGACCUUUAUUUCUUUCUCUUGCUUAAUUGCUCUGAGUGGAAGUUCUAGUGCUAUGUUGACUAUGAGUGGUGAAGUUAUGUGUCUUUCUAUUGCUUCAGUUCUUAGAGGAAAGGCUUUUGACUUUUCCCCAUUCAGCAUAAUGUUGGCUGGGGUUUGUGAUAUACAGACUUAUUAUUUUGAGAUAUGUUCCUUCUAUGUCUACUUUGUCAAGAAUUUUCAACAUGAAGGGAUGUUGAAUUUUAUCAAUUUUUUUCUGUGUCUAUUGAGAUGAUCAUAUGAUUUUUUGUGCUUUAUUCUAUUGAUAUGAUGUAUCACAUUUAUUGAUUUUGUAUAUGUUGAAUCAUUCUUGCAUCCCUGGUAUAAAUCCUAUUUGAUCAUGGCAUAUUAUCUUUUUGAUGUGCUGUUGGACUUAGUUUGCUACUAUUAUGUUGAAGAGUUUUGCAUCUAUGUUCAUCAGGGAUACUGGGCUUAGUUUUCCUUUUUUAUUAUGUCCUUGUCUGGUUUUGGUAUCAGCCUGAUGUUGGUCUCAUAGUGUGAUUUAGGGAGAAUUCUUCCUCUUGCAAAUUUUUGGAAGUUUCAGGAGUUGUAUUAGUUCUUCUUUAUACAUUUAGUAGAGUUUGGCUAUAAAUAUAUCCAGUCCUGGGCUUUUCUUUUUUGGGAAACUUCAUUACUUUUUCAGUCUCACUACUCAUUACUGGUCUGUUCAGGUUUUUUAUUUCUUUCUGAUUCUGUCAUGGUAGGUUGUAGGUCUCCAGAAAUGUGUCCAUUUCCUCUAGCUUUUUCAGUUCAAUAGCAUAUGGUUGUAUAUAAUAGUCUCUGAUGAUACUUUCACUUCCAGAUAUAGGAACCCCUUAAACAUUUCUUGUAGGUCUGGUCUAGUGUCAAUGAAUCCCCUUAUUUUUUCCUUGUCUGGAAAAGACUGUAUUUCUUUUUCAUUUAUAAAGGACAACUUUGCGGGUUAUAGUAUUUUUGGUCAACAUUUUUUCUUCUUCCAGUGCUUUGAAUAUAUCCUAUCCUCCCAUUCUCUUGGCCUGUAAUGCUUUUGCUAAGAAAUUCACUGUAGUCUCAUGAGGUUUCUUGUAUAGGUGACUAGAUGCUUUUCUCUUUGUUUUUAUAAUUCUCUUCUUGUCUUUAACUUUUGACAAUUUUCCUAUAAUGUUCCCUGGAGAAACUUUAUGUGUUGUAUCUACUUGGGAAUCUGCAUUAGGCCAUUCUUGCAUUGCCAUAAAGAAAUACCUGAGACUGGGGAAUAUAUAAGAAAAGAUUGGCUCACUGUUCUGCAGGCUGUGCAGGAAGCAUAGCUCCAGCAUCUAUUUCUGGGGAGGCCUCAGGGAGCUGCUUUACUCAUGGUGAAAGGUAAAGCAGGAGAAGGCAACUCACAUGGCUAAAACAGGAGAGAGAGAGAGAAGGAAGAUGAAGAAGAAGAAGAAGAGGAAGAGGAAGAAGAAGAAGAAGAAAAAGAAGAAGAGAGGAGGAGAGGAGGAGAGAAAGAGAGAAAGAGAGAAAGAGGAGAGAUACAGACUUUUUAACAGCCAGGUCUCAUGAGAACUCACUCACAUUGUGAGGAGAGCACCAAGGGGAUGGUGCUAAUCCAUUCAUGAAAAAUCCACCUCCAUGUUCAGUCACCCCCCACUAGGCCCCACCUCUAAUACUGGGGUUUACAAUUCAACAUGAGAUGUGGGCAGGCACCCAUCUUCAAACUCUAUCAGGAUAACUGGGCUUCCUGUAUCUGGAUGUGUAAAUCUCUUGCCAGACUUUAGAAGUUUAAAGCUAUUAUUUCAAUACAUAGGUUUUUUUAAAAAUGCCUUUGCUCUUCUCUUCACCUUCUGAAAUACCCAAAAUUUGUAUAUUUGGUUGCUUUAUGAUGUCCCAUAUGCAAUGUUGGCUUUCUUCUUUGUUUUUUUUUUUCUGAUUGGGUUACUUCAGAAACCUAUAUUCAUGUUUCUUCUGCUUGAUCUAUUGUUUAAGCUGUUGAAUGUAUUUUUAAUUUCAUUCAUUGAAUUAUUCAGUUCCAGGGUUUCUUUUAGGUUCUUUUUUUAAGGUAUCUAUCUCUGAUACAUUUCUCAUUCGUAUCCUGAAUUUUUUUCUAAUGUUUUUGUGUUUUUUAUCUGUGUUUUUAAUAUCUCACUGAGCUUCUUUAAUAUUAUUAUUUUGAAUUCUUUACCAAGCAUUUCAUAAUUUUUUUCCAUUGAAAUUUUUUGCUAGAAAAUUAUUGUGCUCCUUUGGAGGUGUCAUAUUCUCUAGAUUUUUAAAUGUUUCUUCUGUCCUUAUUUCAAUAUGUGCACAUCUAGUGUAACAAUCAUGUCUUCCAGUUUUUUGAAUUGUCUUUUGUAGGGGAAGAUUUUUCUUAAAGGUGUAUCUAUGGUGUUGGUUGUGUAGGGCACAUUAGGUGUGAUUCUGGAUGUGUACAGUAGUGUAGUCUCUAAAUGAUUUAUUUGGCUGUAAAUAGCAUCAGUGGUGUCUGUCAUAACCUCAGUGGCUUAGGCUGUGGUUAUUAGUGGAGGCUGUGAUGAAGCUUUGCUGGGGUCAGGGAUGCUAAAUGAGCCAGUCCUUGGGUCCCAGUUGUGGCAUCAGUGGGUGGAGCAUGCCUUUCUUUGCUCCUCUGGUCAAUGAAUGCAGGCAUGUGGUAGGCUAAUUCAUGGGCCUCCAGGUAGCUUGCUUGGGUGUGGUUGUGUUAAUGGUUGACUGGGUGAGUGAGAGGCUGCCUGGACCCCUGGGCAGCAUGUAUAGGCAAUGACGGUAGAAAUGGCUAGACAAAACGUAGCCUCCCUGGGCAUCACAUACUGAUGUUAGUGGUGGCAGCAGUGGACUGGAUGGGCUGGCCUCCAAGCCUUCAGGUGUCGGGUGAGGGUGGGUGCUGAUAGUGGUAAUGGCAGUAGGUUGGGUGGGCCUGUCCUCAGGCCCCAGGGAAGAGUGCAGAUGCCAGUGGUGGUGAACCAGCAGGGUGAUCUCCAGGUUACCAGAUGACAUACUUUGGCACCAGUGGCAGGUGUUCUGUGUCUGUUGUUAAGUCUGCUGGUCAUAUGCCCACGGUAAUUGGUGGGGUUAGGGUCGGGGAAUCCCCAGGCUUCUGGGCAGUGUGCUUUGCCACUGUGGGUAACAGUGCCAGAUUGGGUAGGUCUGUCCUUAGGCCCCCCAGUGAUGUGCAUGGGUGCAGGCUGUGGUGGGCUGGCUUGGGUGAUCCCCAGGUCACCAGGAGGCAUGCUUGCGAGAUGAUGGCAGUGGUGGUAAUGAGCAGGGAUAACUUGUCUUUAGGGUGUGUGCAAGUGCACUAUGGUCUUGAUGCUGGUGAGGGCAGGGUUGCUCUCAGUGGCAGGCGGCUCUCAGGCUCUGGGGAGUGCACACAUUUUUUUCUUUUGUCCCAGGGGGAAGCCUUCCAGGUGUGUUGACUGCCUAUUCCCUGGACUGUAGGACAUUGUAUGAGCUAGAAUGCUGGGCAUCCUGCCUAACUGCUGGAUCCACUGGUGUUGCACCACUGCAGCCCUCUGGGUGGAUGCAAGAGGAUGUCAGUAGGGCUCCAGGGAUACGGAGAUGCAGGGGCUGUCAGGAUGCAGUCUGGUGGGAUCUGAGCUCUCAUAAUGGUGCUAUGCUGUACUUGCUUGGAUCUUGGGGGAUGUAUGGGACCCAGAGUGAGCUCCCUCUCUGGAGUAAUGCCAUCAUUUGGACUCUGGGCUGUUCACUCUUCCAGUCUCAGGGAUUGCAAGGGUCGAGGGGCUCUCCCAUGGUUAGAUUUCAGGAGCCACAGAGAGAAUGUGGACUGCUAGGGAUCUCUCACUUAAGCUUUCCCCAUAUUGGAAAGCCUCUCAGAACUCCCAGCUAAUCCUGAGCUGGCUGCCUUGAUUUUCUCUCCUUCCGUGCCUCAGGUGUUUUCUGUCAGUUUUCUGUUGAAUUCCGGUGUUCUCUCUCAGAUUCUCUAUUUGAAGUGUGAUUAUCUACUCACUAUUUUGGUUCUAUUUUGUGGAGUCGGUGAGUGCCAGAUGCCUCUAGUCAGUCAUCUUGAAGCUAAUCCUCGUCUAUGUAUAUUUUCUUAUAGUUUAAAAUAUGUUUUAAACAUUUUAUUUCCUAUAAGUAUUUAGUCUGGUGGUGUUUUAAUUUUUUUUUUUUUUUUAGCUGAGCCUUCCUUUAAACAAAACUUUACUUGGAAAGCCGAGUGUGUAGAAGUGAUACAAGCAUAGUUACUUAUGCAAAAGUAAAGGGAGAAGCCUAGGAUCUGGUAUUUCUCCUGCAGUGUCUCCAAGGUAAUGCUAUGGAAUAAAUAGAACUUGACUGCAUGGUAUGAAACCACUGCCUAAUAUAAAAACCACAAUUCUAUAAAAACCACAAUUCUAAUCUAAUUAAUACUUACAGAUAGAAUAUAUGAUGUGAAAUAAGGAUUGACUUUGUCUUUUCACUCCAUGAGUGUUCAGCUAUUAGAGUUUACUUCCUUUAUGUGUUCCCUCAGUUUUAUUUUAUUUUUUUUUUUUUUGAGAUGGAGUGUGGCUCUGUCGCCCAGGCUGGAGUACAAUGGUGCGAUCUCAGCUCACUGCAACCUCCGCCUCCUGGGUUCAACUGAUUCUUCUGUCUCAGCCUCCUGAGUAGCUGUGAUUACAGACACCCACCACCAUACCUGGCUAAUUUUUGUAUUGUUAGUAGAGGUGGGGUUUCGCCAUGUUGGCCACAGUGGUCUUGAACUCCUGACCUCAAGUGAUAUGCCCACCUCGACCUCCCGAAGUGCUGGGAUUACGAGUGUGAGCCACCGUGCCUGGCCCCCUCAUUUUUCCAUUUGAGGGAAUUGCAUUAGAGUAAUGCUCCCUGCCCCUAAACCUUAUUCACUUCUCCAGGGGCUGAGGAAAGGUGGACGAAUCUGAAAGGUAGUUAGGAGAGAAGCUGAACAUGCUGGCUUUUUCCUCUCACUCAUUUCCUAUCUACUGAAGAUCUACAUUCUGAUCUACUCUCUGCAAAUGCCACCAGGAAGAUGGUCAUACAGGAGUUCCCUGUAUUUUUUCAGGUUUGUAUGUAAGAAAGUUUAAUUGUGGGGAGAAUUUUGGGGAUGCUCAUUUGGACCACAUAUCAAAGCCACAUUCUUGAAUCCAUCUUUUAUCAGUAACAAAAGUACUCAAAAGAUAUUUUGAUAGUCAUCUCUCAGCUUCUUGGGUAUUCCCAUCUGGUUUGCUAUUCAGAUGGACAUAAGAGAGCUAUUAUUAUUAGCCCUUAAAGUUCCAACUCAUUUUAAAGAAUAAUUCUUUCCCCAUUAAGCUAUAAUAUUAUUUUUAUUAAAUAAUAAAUCCACAUGGCUUCAGGAUAUUCUCUCUAUUCCAUUUAUCUGCCUUCUAAUUUCUUGUUAUGAUACUCACUAAAAAAUUAAUAAUUAAAGCAUUCUUUCUAAUAAACUUUAGAAUAAUUUUAUCAAGUUCCAAGAAGUUAUCUGGCAUUUUAAGUUGAUGAUAGGCCUAUCAAUUCAGAUAACUAAAAUGUUUCAAUAUUCAGUCUUAUCAAUACAGAGAGAUGUUACAUCUUCAUUUGUUUCAAUAGCUUAGUUAAAUUUUUAAACUUUUAUUUAUUAAAAUAUUCUACUUUAAGUGUUAUUUUCGAAAAGCUUUUAAAAAUAGGAAUUAGUGUGGAAUUUAAUAAAGUUUUUGAGAUAGUAAUUUUCUUUGAACUUUAUUUUGUAUUGCAUAAUCUUAAUAGGUUUCUUAAUAUUUCAUAUCAAAUAAUCUUUAUACAUGUGGGUGAAUCCUUUUUAAUUAUGGCAUAUAAUUCUUUUAAUAUUGCUGAACUAUUAUUUUGGGUUCAUGUUGAUUUAGGAUUUAUGACAUGAGUUAAUAUUGAUUUAGGAUUCAUGUUUUGUGAGAAAAGCGUAUGCUUUUUAUAUAUCUUAUUCAGGUUUAAUAUGUCACAAAAUUAUUAAGUGACUUAAUAUUUUUGCUCUGGAACAGUUCACAUAGUAAGGGGAUUAUCUAUGCUUAAAAAAUUUCAAGAGUAUUGCCAUGAAACCAUUUGACCUUUUAGGGAGAUAGUUCUCUGAUAAUUUUUCCCUAGUCCAGUUUAUUUUAGUAUUAUUGCACAACUGGAGAAUUCUGAGUUGAUUUCCUAUGGUAGAUGUUUUAGUACAUUUUGUUAAUUUAAAUAUUUUCAAAUUUAACAUCAUAAAAUUGCUCAGAAUAUUAUCUUGUUUUGGAUACCUCUGCUGUUUUGUUGUAGCCACUUUUCAAUCAUUUUUGAUUUUAUUGUUUUCUUUAUAAUGUCUUGUUUAUUUUCUGCAAUGUUCCUGAUAAAUGUUCAUUAAACAGUUACUGUUUGUUCUCAUUUGAAGUAAUGUAUACUCUUUCUAGAAAAUGUGAUAUGCUACAUUUCAUUGAUUGUUCUAAAAAGAUAUAUUUUAUAAAUGAUCUUUAGAAUUUAUAUCUAUACAUACAUAUAGCUGUCAAGAAAAAUACAUCAUUGGCAAAAGGGAACAGAUUUGAUGAUUUUU